AUGAAGUUCAAUAGAGGUCGCCGCCGCAGCCGUGAUUCGGAGAUAGCAGCUUGUUAUGGAGAGGAAAGGCUAAGCGAGCUGGCAAGUGAUGUUGUGGUCAAAGUCCUUGGGACGGUGAAAACCCAGUGGAAGAAAGCAGCUGGUAAUGCGGAGGACAGGCUAAGCGAGCUGCCCAAUGAUUUGCUGCUCAACAUCCUCGAGAGGGUGGGUACGCUUGAUGCCAUAAGAACCUACAUCCUUUCGAAGCGACUGCAGAAGCUGCCCACUAUGCUCUCGCAGAUCGUAAUUGAUCUCAGCCCUCGUGAUUUGUAUGAAAUGGAUGGUGUUGUGGCUGAGGUGACGGACAAGAUCCUUAGUACGAGGUCUCCACAGAUCACUGUUCACAAGCUGAAGCUCAAAUUUUUCUUGGUUCCCUCUCGCUGUCUCUCCAUCGGCAAAUCUGUUGGCCUCGCCAUGGUGACCCAGAAAUUGGAUGCAGCUGAGUUUGAGAUCAUGACACAGAAGGAUUUCAGCCAUUGCACCGAUGCCCAUCGCCUGCUCUAUGCUCAGAAAUUCAAUGAUUUUGUUCGUGAUUGUCCGGAUGCAUUUGCUGGUCUCACGCGGCUGCAUCUACGGAAUAUGAGGUUUGGUAAAUCAGAUAUAUCCAACAUCCUUAGCCAUUGCAAGCGGUUGGAGUUCUUGUCUUUCUUCGAGUGUGACGAGGGGGACCGUUCGGUGCUCCAUGUAGAACACGCUCAACUAGUUGAGCUUGUUAUCAUCUUUGGGAAAUUUGAAACAGUGGAGCUUGCCUGUCUACCAAAGCUCCAGCGGAUGAUCUAUAGGGAUUGGCAGUAUGAUGAUAAUCCCUUGGUUCUUGGUUUUGUCCCUCAGCUUUCGAAGCUCAGUCUUGCUUGUCCAUACAUUUCAGGCAAGACACUCAACUUAAGCAAGCUGCUUGCUAAUGCCCCCACUGUAAGCGAUUUGUAUCUGGAGUUUCGAAGUGAAAAGAUUUGGAUUCAACCAGAAUGCCCAAAAGUGCUUGCUCGUGUGCUUGCCAAACUACGGUUUGUGAAUCUGGAUCAUCUUCGCGAAGAAUGUGAUGUCUCCUGGACACUCUUUCUUCUUGAAGCGGCACCAUACCUAGAGGAGCUUUGCAUCACAGUAUGGGACCAUAAGUGCCGAAUCGAGUCACAAAAGAGCGUCUCCAAGAAAACGGAUGUGAAGUGGGAACCAUCUGAUCCUCACUUUAAGCAGAAGAAUCUGGCAAGGCUGACUAUAUACGGCUUCCAGUCCGAUGACAAUUUCAUCGGAUACGUUAGACGCGUCAUUCAAGCUGCUGCGAACAUCAGGGAGGUAUCCCUGCACGCCAGGAAGGUGUGCCCAUUGUGUUUCGAAAAGUUUCCUCAGGUGGCGCUUCGUCCUUCGAGUUAUCCACGGACAAGCGAGGAGCUUGAUUUGUUGAGGGAGAAGAUGACAGCCGCUUCGGCUACGGCUUCUCCUGUUAUUCAUUUCCGCUCAUUAGGUUGA
rnacentral:rRNA from 1 species